UACGUAGGGGGCUAGCGUUGUCCGGAAUCAUUGGGCGUAAAGAGCGCGUAGGCGGCCAGAUAAGUCCGGUGUGAAAGUCAAAGGCUCAACCUUUGAAUGUCAGUGGAUACUGCCGGGCUAGAGUCCGGAAGAGGCGAGUGGAACUCCUGGUGUAGCGGUGGAAUGCGCAGAUAUCAGGAAGAACACCAACGGCGAAGGCAGCUCGCUGGGGACGGUACUGACGCUGAGACGCGAAAGCGUGGGGAGCGAACAGG
rnacentral:rRNA from 1 species